UACGUAGGUGACAAGCGUUGUCCGGAUUUACUGGGCGUAAAGAGCGCGCAGGCGGUCGUUCAAGUCGCGUGUGAAAUCCCCCGGCUCAACUGGGGAGGGUCACGCGAUACUGAUCGACUCGAAGGCAGGAGAGGGUAGUGGAAUUCCCGGUGUAGUGGUGAAAUGCGUAGAUAUCGGGAGGAACACCAGUGGCGAAGGCGACUACCUGGCCUGUUCUUGACGCUGAGGCGCGAAAGCUAGGGGAGCAAACGGG
rnacentral:rRNA from 1 species